rnacentral:rRNA from 1 species
AUGAACGCUGGCGGCGUGCCUAAUACAUGCAAGUCGAGCGAACAGAUAAGGAGCUUGCUCCUUUGACGUUAGCGGCGGACGGGUGAGUAACACGUGGGUAACCUACCUAUAAGACUGGGAUAACUUCGGGAAACCGGAGCUAAUACCGGAUAACAUUUGGAACCGCAUGGUUCUAAAGUGAAAGAUGGUUUUGCUAUCACUUAUAGAUGGACCCGCGCCGUAUUAGCUAGUUGGUAAGGUAACGGCUUACCAAGGCAACGAUACGUAGCCGACCUGAGAGGGUGAUCGGCCACACUGGAACUGAGACACGGUCCAGACUCCUACGGGAGGCAGCAGUAGGGAAUCUUCCGCAAAGGGCGAAAGCCUGACGGAGCAACGCCGCGUGAGUGGUGAAGGGUUUCGGCUCGUAAAACUCUGUUAUUAGGGAAGAACAAACGUGUAAGUAACUGUGCACGUCUUGACGGUACCUAAUCAGAAAGCCACGGCUAACUACGUG